rnacentral:rRNA from 1 species
CCUACGGGGGGCAGCAGUGGGGGAUAUUGCACAAUGGGGGGAACCCUGAUGCAGCGACGCCGCGUGUGGGAAGACGGUCCUCUGGAUUGUAAACCACUGUCCCCAGGGACGAAAAUGACGGUACCUGGGGCGGAAGCUCCGGCUAACUACGUGCCAGCAGCCGCGGUAAUACGUAGGGAGCGAGCGUUGUCCGGAAUUACUGGGUGUAAAGGGAGCGUAGGCGGGGAUGCAAGUUGGGUGUCAAAACUACCGGCUCAACUGGUAGUCGCACUCAAAACUGCAGCCCUUGAGUGAAGUAGAGGCAGGCGGAAUUCCUAGUGUAGCGGUGAAAUGCGUAGAUAUUAGGAGGAACACCAGUGGCGAAGGCGGCCUGCUGGGCUUUUACUGACGCUGAGGCUCGAAAGUGUGGGAAGCAAACAGGAUUAGAUACCCCUGUAGUC